GUCCAGCGGAAGCGUGGCGCCGGCCCGGUGACAACAGCUCCGGAUCAUUCCCGCCGGGAGCUUCCCGGUCUGAGCGGCGGGAGGAUUUAACGGAACUAACGGACCGACGGGACUGACAGAGGUGAUGCUCUCGCGGCUGAGUGGCGACAGGGGGCGGGGCCUGGCCACAGUGACUCCGCCUCCUGUCCUCCCAUUGGCCGAUGAAGGAGACGACACACAGAUUGGAGUUUUCUUUCCUCCUGCACCUCCUUGGAGCUCCUCCUCGUCUUCCCCUUCCUCUCCUCCGCCUCACUUGGCCUCCUCUUCCUCCUCCUCUGCUGCUUCUGUUACUCCUCCUUCUCCUUCUGUCUCUACUCCUUUUUCUCCUCUUGUUCCUCCUCAUGUAUCUUCUCCUCAUCCCCCUGUAGCUUCUUUUCUUUCUUCCUAUCCUCCUCCUCGUGUCUCUCCUCCUCGUGUCUCUCCUCCUCGUGUCUCUCCUCCUUGUGUUUCUCCUCCUCCUCGUG